rnacentral:pre_miRNA from 1 species
UCUUAUUAGUGAGCAAAGAAAGUGGUUUCUUGAGAUGGAAUCUACUCCUGGUGAAGAUGCCAUGAA